rnacentral:rRNA from 1 species
AAAUCAUCAUGCCCUUUAUGUCCUGGGCUACACACGUGCUACAAUGGCCUGUACAAAGGGCAGCAAAGGGGCAAACCCGGAGCAAAUACCCAAAAACAGGUCUCAGUUCGGAUUGCAGGCUGCAACUCGCCUGCAAUGAAGUCGGAAUCGCUAGUAAUCGCAGGUCAGCAUACUCGCGGUGAAUACGUUCCCGGGCCUU